rnacentral:rRNA from 1 species
AUUGAACGCUGGCGGCAGGCCUAACACAUGCAAGUCGAACGAGUGGCGGACGGGUGAGUAAUGUCUGGGAAACUGCCUGAUGGAGGGGGAUAACUACUGGAAACGGUAGCUAAUACCGCAUACCAUCGGAUGUGCCCAGAUGGGAUUAGCUAGUAGGUGGGGUAAAGGCUCACCUAGGCGACGAUCCCUAGCUGGUCUGAGAGGAUGACCAGCAACACGGGGACUGAGACGCGGUCAAGACGCCGACGGGAGGCAGCAGUGGGGAAUAGUGCACAAGGGGCGCAAGCCGGAUGCAGCCAUGCGGCGUGUGUGAAGGAGGCCUUCGGGUUGUAAAGUACUUUCAGCGGGGAGGCGUUACCCGCAGAAGAAGCACCGGCUAACUCCGUGCAAGCAGCCGCGGUAAUAC